rnacentral:lncRNA from 1 species
UUAAUCGUUUUACUGGAAGUACUUUCAUGAUGGCGAGUUCGGCUGACCUGAUAAAUGGAGUGAAAAUGAUUUGAAAUGGCGCACCAUGGGAUAUUUUACGAAUAUGUGAACCUAAAGGCAAAGCAACAGAAAAUUAAAUUUAGAACGCCCUGACACCGUAAAACAAGCAAAUGAUCAGGAAAUAUCAUCGAUCCAAUUGCAGAUGAGAGAAAUGGUAAAUGCAUGACGAUGGAAGAAAUGGAAAAACGGAAGGUGGACAAUCCGGAACACCCAAAAUGGUAUAGGAAGCGAUACCCAAAUUUAAGGAUAGAAGACCGUUCAAACUUUGUUUAUAAACCCUAAUUUAAAUUCGCUUAAUCAUAUUUUAUUUUGGAAGACAAAACAUGCUGAAUAAAUAUAAUUAAAUUUAAA